UAAAAUCAGAAAAUUGCUUUGAAACAUGGGCCAUCUGUUUUGUGAUAGGCACGACAUUUUGUGAAACACCAGUAAACCAUAGUCAAUCAUUUUAAAGAAAGGUGCCAUUAGCACCGAACUAUUGUGCUAGGCCACGCGUCUGAAUGACAUUACCUCCGCCCAUAUAUUUACCUUGGUUCCAGCAAUGCAAAUGU